CCCGCCAGAUGCCAGAAGUGGGUGGAGAAUUGUAGGAGAGCAGACUUAGAAGAUAAAACACCUGAUCAGCUGAAUAAACAUUAUCGACUGUGUUACCAAACACUUUGAGACCUCUAUGAUCUGUAGAACUAGUCCUUAUAGGACUGUUCUUCGAGAAAAUGCAAUACCAACAAUAUUUGCUCUUACCAGUCACUUGAACAAUCUGCAUAGUAGACACAGAAAACGAAUAAAGAAUUGAGUGAAGAUGAAAUAAGGACAAUGAAACAGAAAAAAAUUGAUGAAAUCUGAACAGGAACAGAAACAUAAGGAAACAAACAAUAGCAAUGCUCAGAAUCCCAGUGCAGAAGUGGUAGGUGAUGAGCCAGAUGAAGACAUUUUACCUUUAACCUUUGAAGAGAAGGAAAACAACGAAUACUUAAAGUCUCUAUUUGAAAUUUUGAUUCUUAUGGGAAAACAAACAUACCUUUGGAUGGGCAUGAGACUGAUGAAAUUCCAGAAGGUCUUUUUACACCUGAUAACUUUCAAGCAUUGCUCUUGGAUAAAUUCUGGUGAAGAGGUCCUGAGAAAGCAUUUUGAGGCCACAGCUGUUCCAUUCAAAAACACAGCAGAAGCAGAUGCUAGAGAUCUAUGAGAGCUGUAUUCGUGAAGAAACCCUCAGGGAAGUGAGAGACUCACACUUCUCUUCCAUCAUCACUGACUAUGUGGUGGACAUAGCAGGGGAAGAGCACUUACCUGUCUUAGUGAGGGUUGUCGAAGAAUCUCAUAACCUAAGAGUUUGUGGGCUUCCUCCCUUAUGAAGCUGCUGCAGAAAUUUUGGCUGUAAAAUUUCACACUACAAUAACUGAGAAGUGGGGACUCAAUAUGGAGUAUUGUCAUGGCCAGGCUUAUAUUGUGUCCAGUGGAUUUUCUUUUCAAAUGAAAGUUGUUGCUUCUAGACUUUUAGAGAAAUAUCCCCAAGCUAUCUACACACUCUGCUCUCACUGUGCCUUAAACAUGUGGUUGGCAAAAUCAGCGUCUGUGGUAGAGGUAUCAGUUGCAUUAGGAACAAUUGAAGAAGUCUGUUUUUUCCAUCAUUCACCACAACUACUUUUAGAACUUGACAAUGUAAUUUCUGUUCUUUUUCAGAACAGUGAAGAAAGGGGUAAAGAACUGAAGGAAAUAUGUCAUUCUCAAUGGACGAUGCUUUUGAAGUUUUAGUGGAUCUCCUACAAGCACUUGUUUUGUGUUUAGAUGGUAUAAAUAGUGACACAAAUAUUAGAUGGAAUAACUGUAUAGCUGGCCGAGCAUUUAUACUCUGUAGUGCAGUGACAGAUUUUGAUUUUAUUGUUAUUAUUGUUGUUCUUAAAAAUGUCUUAUCUUUUACAAGGGUCUUUGGGAAAAAUCUCCAGGGACAAACUUCUGAUGUCUUUUUUGUAGCCAGCAGCUUGACUGCAGUGCUUCACUCACUCAAUGAAGUGAUGGAAAAUAUUGAAGUUUAUCAUGAGAUUUGGUUUUGAAGAAGCUACACAUUUGGCAACCAAGCUUGAUAUUCAAAUGAAACUCCCUGGGAAAUUUUGUAGGGCUCAGCAAGGUAACCUGGAAUCUCAGUUAACCUCUGAGAGUUACUAUAAAGAAAUCUUAAGUGUCCCAACAAUAGAGCACAUUAUUCAGGAACUUAAAGAUAUAUUCUCAGAACAGCAUCUCAAAGCUCUUAAAUGCUUAUCUUUGGUACCCUCAGUCAUGGGGCAGCUCAAAUUCAACACAUCAGAGGAACAUCAUGCUGACAUGUACAGAAGUGACUUACCCAAUCCUGACAUGCUCUCAGCUGAGCUUCAUUGCUGGAGAAUCAAAUGGAAACACAGAGGGAAAGACAUAGAGCUUCCAUCUACUAUUUAUGAAGCCCUCCACUUGCCUGACAUCAAGUUUUUUUCUAAUGUGUAUGCCUUGCUGAAAGUCAUGUGUAUUCUUCCUGUGAUGAAAGUUGAGAACGAACGCUAUGAAAAUGGACGAAAGCAUCCCAAAGCAUAUUUGAGGAAUACUUUGACAGACCUAAGGUCCAGUAACUUGGCUUUGCUUAACAUAAAUUUUGAUAUAAAACAUGAUCUGGAUUUAAUGGUGGAUACAUAUAUCAAACUAUAUACAACUAAAUCAGAGCUUCCUACAGUUAAUUCAGAAACUGUUGAAAACACCUGAGAGACUUUUAAAAUAGGCUUUCUCAUGUAUUUGCUAUUUGUAAGAAAAACCAUGAGGAGUGUGUAGGCUGCCUAAUCACUGAACAUGGUAGACCAUAUGCCUGUCAUUUAAUAUAUUAGCCAUUUGAUAAUCCAUGUUUAAGUGGCUGCUCUCAUGCUUCUGAGAUCUGUUUUCCAGAAGACAGCAUUGGGAGUGCCACACUUCACUUGGCAUGACCCCUGCUGGUGGCACUCUGAAAUCGUUUUAAGUCAUUUUAGACAGCACACUUACUGCCACUGUGGAUCCCUGGUCAGAUAUUGAAUUGUCAGUUUUUGAAAAAAUGAAUUUUGAGAUGGUGUGGGAGAAGUGCACUUUAUAAAACGUUAUGGUGAACCCCA